rnacentral:rRNA from 1 species
UACGUAGGGCGCAAGCGUUGCCCGGAAUUAUUGGGCGUAAAGAGCUCGUAGGCGGCUUGUCACGUCGGGUGUGAAAGCCCGGGGCUUAACCCCGGGUCUGCAUUCGAUACGGGCUAGCUAGAGUGUGGUAGGGGAGAUCGGAAUUCCUGGUGUAGCGGUGAAAUGCGUAGAUAUCUGGAGGAACACCGGUGGCGAAGGCGGCAUCCUGGACCAACACUGACGCUGAUGAGCGAAAGCCAGGGGAGCAAACGGG